AUGGGCUCCGCCAAGUCCUCCAAAUCCUCCAAGAAGCGGAAACCCGUCGCCCCGCCGCCAGAGUCGGACUCCGAGCAGGAGGAGACGGUCCACGAGGCCGCCGCUGCCGACGAAUUCAACCAAGAGGAGCAGCCGCAGCCGCAGCAGCAGUCGGACGCAGGAGACGAGCACCAUGAGCAUGACAAGGAGGUGCAGGAGACGGGAAUGGAGAAAAAGAAGAAGAAGGACAAGGAGGGUUCGGGAAUCCUCACCAGCAUGCUCUUCUCGGAGCUCCCCAUCUCCGAGCUCACCGCCAAGGCCAUCAGGGAGAUGAACUACACCCACCUCGCCCAGAUUCAAGCUCGGUCGAUACCUCAUCUGCUGGAAGGAAGGGAUGUGAUGGGAGCUGCCAAGACUGGCUCAGGGAAGACCCUUGCGUUCCUCAUACCGGCUAUCGAGCUUCUCUAUAACCUGCAUUUCUCGCCGAGGAAUGGCACAGGAGUUAUUGUGGUUUGCCCUACAAGGGAGCUUGCCAUACAGACACACAAUGUUGCCAAGGAAUUGAUGAAGUAUCACUCACAAACCCUCGGAUAUGUAAUUGGUGGUAAUGGCCGGAGAACUGAAGCUGACCAGCUUGCAAAGGGGGUCAAUUUGUUAGUAGCUACACCAGGCAGGCUGUUGGAUCAUCUGCAAAACACCAAGGGUUUCAUAUAUAAGAGACUAAAGUGUCUUAUAAUUGAUGAAGCUGAUCGCAUUCUUGAGCAGAACUUUGAGGAAGAUAUGAAACAAAUAUUUAAACGCCUUCCCCAGAAUCGGCAGACAGUUCUUUUUUCUGCGACACAAACUAAAGAGGUUGAAGAUUUUGCCAAGUUGUCAUUUGAGAAAAACGAAGAAAGGAAAGAAAAACCUGUUUAUAUCUCAGUUGAUGAUGGUAAAUCAAAUGCUACCGUGGAAGGCUUACAGCAGGGCUAUUGUGUCAUUCCUAGCGACAAGAGGUUUUUGGUUCUGUAUGCUUUCCUAAAAAAGAAACAGUCUAAGAAGGUCAUGGUGUUCUUUUCAUCAUGUAGCUCAGUAAAGUUCCAUGCCGAGCUUCUAAAUUUUCUCCAGAUAGGGUGCGAAGAUAUCCAUGGGAGACAAAAACAGCAGAAACGAACUACAACAUUCUUUAACUUCUGCAAGGCAGAAAAGGGCAUCUUAUUAUGCACUAAUGUGGCAGCACGUGGACUUGAUAUUCCUGAUGUGGAUUAUAUUGUGCAAUAUGACCCUCCAGAUGAACCAAAGGAUUACAUUCACAGAGUUGGUCGUACUGCACGUGGUGAAAAAGGCAAAGGAAGCGCCUUAUUGUUCUUGUUGCCGCAAGAACUGAAGUUUCUUAUUUACCUGAAGGCAGCCAAGAUUUCUCUCACAGAAUACGAGUUCAAUAAUAAGAAUGUGCCAAAUUUACAAUCACACCUUGAGAACAUCGUUGGUGAGAAUUACUUCCUAAACCAGUCAGCUAAAGAAGCCUACAGAUCCUACAUCUUGGCAUACAACUCACACGCCAUGAAGGACAUUUUUAAUGUUCAUGAUCUUGAUAUGAAGGCUGUGGCAGCAUCAUUCUGUUUUAAGAACCCUCCAAAAGUGAACCUUGACUUGGAGAGCAGCGCUUCUAAACGUCGGAAGACAAGGAAAGUGGAUGGUGGGGCGAGGAGGCAUGGUAUCAAUGCCGCAAAUCCUUAUGGACGGAAGGGCGGUGAUGAUAACAGGCAAUUCGCAAGAUUCUAG
rnacentral:rRNA from 1 species